AAUGAACGCUGGCGGCGCGCCUAAUACAUGCAAGUCGAGCGAGAAGACGUAGCAAUACGUUUGUAAAGCGGCGAACGGGUGAGGAAUACAUGGGUAACCUACCCUCGAGUGGGGAAUAACUAGCCGAAAGGUUAGCUAAUACCGCGUACGCUCCUUGGACUUCGGUUCAGGGAGGAAAGCGAUACCGUGGGUAUCGCGCUCUUGGUUGGGCUCAUGUCCUAUCAGCUUGUUGGUGAGGAACGGCUCACCAAGGCUUCGACGGGUAGCUGGUCUGAGAGGACGAUCAGCCACACUGGCACUGCGACACGGGCCAGACUCCUACGGGAGGCAGCAGUAAGGAAUAUUGCGCAAUGGGCGAAAGCCUGACGCAGCAACGCCGCGU
rnacentral:rRNA from 1 species